rnacentral:rRNA from 1 species
GACGAACGCUGGCGGCGUGCCUAAUACAUGCAAGUUGAGCGCUGAAGGUUGGUACUUGUACCAACUGGAUGAGCAGCGCACGGGUGAGUAACGCGUGUGGAAUCUGCCUUUGAGCGGGGGACAACAUUUGGAAACGAAUGCUAAUACCGCAUAAAAACUUUAAACACAAGUUUUAAGUUUGAAAGAUGCAAUUGCAUCACUCAAAGAUGAUCCCGCGUUGUAUUAGCUAGUUGGUGAGGUAAAGGCUCACCAAGGCGAUGAUACAUAGCCGACCUGAGAGGGUGAUCGGCCACAUUGGGACUGAGACACGGCACAAACUCCUACGGGAGGCAGCAGUAGGGAAUCGUGGGCAAUGGAUGAAAGUCUGACCGAGCAACGCGGCGUGAGUGAAGAAGGUCUUCGGAUCGUAAAACUCUGUUGGUAGAGAAGAACGUUGGUGAGAGUGGAAAGAUCAUCAAGUGACGGUAACUACACAGAAAGGGACGGCUAACUACGUG